AAUGUUCCUACAGGAGGAUCACUACAUUGUAUGAUUUCUACAGGUGGCAGCAAGGAGAAUACACCUAACAUUAAGAAGAGUAAUGAAAAAGUUGAAAUGCCUCUGUUAAAUUUGUCUAAAUCAGAGGUGAAUGACUUGUAUGUAGAGCCUGUGAAUAUGGUUACCUCUGAUUUUUGGGUGGAUGCAACCUUAAGACUGUCUUUCAAAG
rnacentral:misc_RNA from 1 species